AAUACAAAAGGCUGCGGUCGCCUUGGACAAAAUCAAUUAAAUUUUGCACUUUUAGUGAUUAUUUAAAUACACAUUGUGCAUACACAUUUAAAUACAUGUGGUUAUAAAUUUGUACUUAACUUUUAACAACGGUGAUAGGUUCAUAUGCUUUGGGAACCUAAAAUUUGAGAGUUGCUGGCGCAGGAUUUUUGGAGGUUUUCUGGCCAUAGUCGAAAUAAAAUUCAGGUUUUUGACAAAAAUUCUUUCAGCAAAGCCCAAUAAUGGACUUCCAAGAACUGUAAGUGGAGCCGCGCCAAGCAGUCCUGAAAUACACAAAAGUAGAUCGGCUGUUUCAGUGAGUACCAGAACUUUAUGACACAUUGGAGGUGGAGCACACCAAUGUCUGGGCGGAGAAGAUCCUAAGUACGGAAAAUACUGCUCGGAACCGACUUUGUACCAAAGCAAUGGCGUUCGAUGGCAUAGAACAAUAAAAUGUGUUUGGAACAAAUCUGUAAACUUUGCGGAAGAUUUAAGUUUCGUAUAAUCAUUUUGUUUACCAUGCUUUACCCCGCGCUAAAAAGUUGUAAUCUUUAUUUUUAGCUUUUUAAUAUUGCAAUAUCAGGACAUGAGGGCAAUGAAUAUGCAUCAAUGUAGUCUUGGGUACUUGGAAAUACCAACAAAUAUGCAACGAAAAUAUCUGGAAUCGGAACAGUAGCAAUAUUAUAGCACAUCUGCCUCAGAAAUUUAAUGAUCGACCAACAUUUGCAAAAGAGUAACACCAUACACUCUGAGCUUUCUUUGAAGGCAUUGAAUAUUCAAAAGUAGUUUAGUUAUUUGUACAACGAUUUUGGGUUGCUAAGCGCAAACGCGUGACCCGGAUCAAAAAACGUUUAAACACACUUGUAGACAAGAGUCUACGCUUUACUUUAAAACAAAUUUACUAUAUCUGUGCACUAUUUUAUUAAUAAUUUCGUAUUGAAAUAUGCUAUUCUUUUCAAAUUUCCGAGCUGAGCUGUCAAACACAAAAAAUAUUCUCGAAAUAUGGCUGCGUUCGAGAUGUCAAUCACAACCGCAGUGUUGAAAAUGUUGCCAAAGUAUCACGUUCUGUGCGAAUUUCUGGCAACACUUGCAACACGCCGAACGUUCGCGCAGCCAUUUUGCGCAUAAAUAUUGCGCAUCAUAAGUAUCACAGAAUUGAACGCUACAAGUUGUGCGCGAUGGCAUCGGAAGAAGAAAGCGAUAAAAUGGGUACUUCGAUGACAAAGCUACUCAUACGAUGACGGCUUGACAUGGAACCAGAGUUUGUUUCAGGCAG